AUUGAACGCUGGCGGCAUGCCUUACACAUGCAAGUCGAACGGCAGCACGGGGGGUAACCCCUGGUGGCGAGUGGCGAACGGGUGAGUAAUAUAUCGGAACGUGUCCUGUAGCGGGGGAUAACCUAUCGAAAGAUGGACUAAUACCGCAUACGACCUACGGGUGAAAGCGGAGGACCGCAAGGCUUCGCACUAUAGGAGCGGCCGAUAUCGGAUUAGCUAGUUGGCGGGGUAACGGCCCACCAAGGCGACGAUCCGUAGCUGGUCUGAGAGGACGAUCAGCCACACUGGAACUGAGACACGGUCCAGACUCCUACGGGAGGCAGCAGUGGGGAAUUUUGGACAAUGGGCGCAAGCCUGAUCCAGCCAUGCCGCGUGAGUGAAGAAGGCCUUCGGGUCGUAAAGCUCUUUCGGCGGGGACGAAACGGUUCGUGCUAAUACCACGGACUACUGACGGUACCCGCAGAAGAAGCACCGGCUAACUACGUG
rnacentral:rRNA from 1 species